CCGGCCAUACUAUGCUGAAUAUACCGGUUCUCGUUAGAUCACUGAAGUCAAGCAUCAUUAAGGCGCUGUCAGUACUUUGGGGGGUGACCACCUUGAGAACACCGCG